GUGCUGGUUUAAGAAGCACAUAUGCUAAAAUUGGAACCACACAGAGAUGACCAUGACCCCUGUGCAAGGAUGCCGUGCAAAUUCAUGAAGCAUUCCAUAUUUUU
ensembl:snRNA U6 U6 spliceosomal RNA